UACGUAGGGGACAAGCGUUGUCCGGAUUUACUGGGCGUAAAGAGCGCGCAGGCGGUCGUUCAAGUCGAGUGUGAAAGCCCCCGGCUCAACUGGGGAGGGGCAUUCGAUACUGAUCGACUCGAAGGCAGGAGAGGGAAGUGGAAUUCCCGGUGUAGCGGUGAAAUGCGCAGAUAUCAGGAAGAACACCAAUGGCGAAGGCAGCUCUCUGGGACGGUACUGACGCUGAGACGCGAAAGCGUGGGGAGCGAACAGG
rnacentral:rRNA from 1 species